GCCAGCUUCAGCAGACACAUACUAAUGGAACUAUACCAAGAAGAAUAGCAUGGCGCCUGCGCAAGGAUGACACGCACAUUCGUGAAGCGUUCCAUAUUUUU
rnacentral:snRNA from 1 species